rnacentral:lncRNA from 1 species
AUGUGCAAUAAUGUAAAAGAUUUUUCCAUAUCAGUUCUUUGUGGAAGAAAAUUUGAACAAAAACAAAAAAUGAAGAAAGUGAAAUAUAGUAUACUUUGGUUUGAAUUUAGACUCUUGAGGCAGAUGGCAUUUUUCAUCAUGAAUCCUUUGGGAUUUUCUUUCAUCAUUGUAUUGCUGAAAAUAGGCUCUAUUUAAGCUCUAUUCAACCUGUCUCAGAGAGUAGGAGCAUGGAAUCAAAUAAUCUCACAGUUGAGUCAGAUGUGAGAGGUAAUGUACUCUAACCCACAUUGUUUUUUUGGUUUUUCUUUAGACUAUUUUCCUAUGGUUACAUGAUUUAUGAUUCCCCCACUCCCACCCCUUCUCUCCCCACUCCUGGAGCUGACAAGCAAUUACACUGGAUUAUAAAUGUAUCACUGUUCAAAAUUUAUUUCCAUGUUAUUCAUAUUUACAUUAGAGAGAUCUUUUAACACCAAAACUCUAUAUUCCUAUCAAACUACAUGAUUGAUUAUGUUUUUCUUCUGUUUCUAUUCCCACAGUUCUUUCUCUGGAUGUGAAUAGCUUUCUUUCUCAUAAGUUCCUCUGGAUUGUACUGGGUCAUUUCAUUGCUGCUAGUAAAAAAGUCUAUUACAUUCAAUUGUGUCAAAACGUAUCAUUCUCUGUGUAUAAUAUUCUCCUGGUUCUGUUCCUUUUGCUCUGCUUCAUUCCUGGAGGUUGUUCCAGUUCACAUGGAAUUCCUGCAGUUCAGUAUUACUUACAUCACAAGAGUAUUCCAUCACCAAAAAAUACCACAAUUUGUUCAGCCAUUCCCCAAUUGAGGGAUACAUUCUCAUUUUCUAAUUUUUUGCUACCACAAAGAGCAUGGCUAUAAACAUUUUUUGUACAAGUCUUUUUCCUUAUUAUCUGUUUGAGGUACAAAGCAAGCAGUGGUUUCACUAGAUCAAAGGGCAGGCUUUCUUUU